rnacentral:tRNA from 1 species
AGGGCUGUGGCUCAGUGGCAGAGCACUCGCCUAGCAUGUGCGAGGCGCUGGGUUCGAUCCUCAGCCCCA